GGGAUAGAUGUUUUAAGAUGGUCCCUUGAAAUUAAGCAGUAGAUGAUGUCACCUGCUUAUGUGAUUGUUGGGCAUAAAUACCUGUUUCUUCUGUGAUUGUAAGUGCAUCGGGGUCUUUAGUGGCCCUACAACACCACCUCCAGACGCACAUGGUCUCCCAUCCAGGGACCGAUGAGGGUAGCUUCAGAAGUGAGCCAGCUGAAGGAUGCAAGGCGACACUGCUGGUUGAUAUUGACAUCGUAGCAGCAUCUUUCCAGAAUAUGAACCAAACAAACUGCGAGGAAGAUCUUUAACACUCCUGUCAACACAAAGCUGUUGACUUGGACCCCGAGAGCAGGGAAUCACUAGUGAAACUAGGCAUUUGCAGACAGAACCAUCACCCACUUCUUGGCAAUGUUGGAGAUGAAGGUGUGCUCUAAGAUAGUGGUUUCCCCUUUUUGGAAAGCAUGUCACGCUCUGAGGACAACCUACUGAAAAUGCCAGCCGUCAUGAGCAUUUUUUAGAUGCCCCUAGAGACCUGCUGAUAGUGCU
ensembl:lncRNA